UGGGGAAUUUUGGACAAUGGGCGCAAGCCUGAUCCAGCAAUGCCGCGUGCAGGAUGAAGGCCCUCAGGGUUGUAAACGGCUUUUAUUCGGGAAGAAGAGCGAGGAUGCGUCCUUGUGUGACGGUACCGAAUGAAUAAGCACCGGCUAACUCCGUGCCAGCAGCCGCGGUAAUACGUAGGGUGCGAGCGUUAAUCGGAAUUACUGGGCGUAAAGCGUGCGCAGGCGGUUAUAUAAGACAGAUGUGAAAUCCCCGGGCUCAACCUGGGACCUGCAUUUGUGACUGUAUAGCUAGAGUACGGUAGAGGGGGAUGGAAUUCCGCGUGUAGCAGUGAAAUGCGUAGAUAUGCGGAGGAACACCGAUGGCGAAGGCAAUCCCCUGGACCUGUACUGACGCUCAUGCACGAAAGCGUGGGGAGCAAACA
rnacentral:rRNA from 1 species